UAAAGCGCACGCAGGCGGUCUGUCAAGUCGGAUGUGAAAUCCCCGGGCUCAACCUGGGAACUGCAUUCGAAACUGGCAGGCUUGAGUCUUGUAGAGGGGGGUAGAAUUCCAGGUGUAGCGGUGAAAUGCGUAGAGAUCUGGAGGAAUACCGGUGGCGAAGGCGGCCCCCUGGACAAAGACUGACGCUCAGGUGCGAAAGCGUGGGGAGCAAACAGGAUUAGAUACCCUGGUAGUCCACGCCGUAAACGAUGUCUACUUGGAGGUUGUGCCCUUGAGGCGUGGCUUCCGGAGCUAACGCGUUAAGUAGACCGCCUGGGGAGUACGGCCGCAAGGUUAAAACUCAAAUGAAUUGACGGGGGCCCGCACAAGCGGUGGAGCAUGUGGUUUAAUUCGAUGCAACGCGAAGAACCUUACCUGGUCUUGACAUCCACAGAACUUUCCAGAGAUGGAUUGGUGCCUUCGGGAACUGUGAGACAGGUGCUGCAUGGCUGUCGUCAGCUCGUGUUGUGAAAUGUUGGGUUAAGUCCCGCAACGAGCGCAACCCUUAUCCUUUGUUGCCAGCGGUCCGGCCGGGAACUCAAAGGAGACUGCCAGUGAUAAACUGGAGGAAGGUGGGGAUGACGUCAAGUCAUCAUGGCCCUUACGACCAGGGCUACACACGUGCUACAAUGGCGCAUACAAAGAGAAGCGACCUCGCGAGAGCAAGCGGACCUCAUAAAGUGCGUCGUAGUCCGGAUUGGAGUCUGCAACUCGACUCCAUGAAGUCGGAAUCGCUAGUAAUCGUGGAUCAGAAUGCCACGGUGAAUACGUUCCCGGGCCUUGUACACACCGCCCGUCACACCAUGGGAGUGGGUUGCAAAAGAAGUAGGUAGCUUAACCUUCGGGAGGGCGCUUACCACUUUGUGAUUCAUGACUGGGGUGAAGUCGUAACAAGGUAACCGUAGGGGAACCUGC
rnacentral:rRNA from 1 species